CAGACACACAACUCCAACUGAAUGCUAAUGUUGCAGGGGAUACACGGAAAUGUAUGUCUAAGCUAAUUCUGCUGCCCUCUAGUGGCCAGUAUAGAAUUAAAAUACCUUUUCCAUUACUGGUUAAAACUGGUUAGUGAUACUUCACAUGCACUUUCGGUUUGACUAACUACAGUAUGUGUUCAGAUGACCCGACCCAGCUCUGAUGCAUGUCCUGAGGUGGAGGAGGUGUUUGUGUCCCAUCUGGAGGCAGACAUCCCAGAGUUCAGACACCUCAAAGAAAAUGUAUCACACAGGUCCUUUCACCGCCCAAAGAAGCCGACAGCCGUCGUCUUUGGGGCAGUCAUCUCAGUCAGUUUCACAAAGAUAUCUUUAAGCAGACGAGAAUUGGCAAAGGAAGAUGCACCCAUGACAUAUGGCGUGGUGAUAACAUCAGGUGAAGAUCACCUUACUGUCAGGUUUAAAAGUGUGAACCCAAUAUACAACACAACGAUCAAAACCCAGAACAUCAGCAUCAAGGCAUUGGAGCACCGAACACUCUCUGUGUGUCUGGACAAGGACUCACGCAGGACGUACACCGGCGUCCAAAGGGUAGAAAUUUCUCCGUGUUUGGACGCAGGAUGCAGCCGCCGGUCCAGUUUCAGUGUCUUACAUGACCAAGAGCUGCUGUUUAGCAAGUAUCUGGACAAAGUCCUGUCGCUGCAAAUCAAAACGUUCACUGGUGUGACCCUCUGAGGGACAUGAGCUCUCCACUUCAUGUGUGCAGAUAAUGCUGUACAUAAUGUUUUAUCAACAGUAAAUUCUGUGAUAAAAAGUGUAGGUUUAUCAAAUGUAUACUAAUUACAAAUGCUAAGAAGGGGGACUUAAAUAAUGUAUGAUAAAGUAUUACCAACAUUUAUUUUCUAUUUGACAAAAUGCCUUUGUUAUUGUAAAGUAUUUUAAGAUACUUUUUUUAUACUAGAAGCAUGCUUAAGUAAUGCAUAACUGUUGCAUUUGAUGCAGUUUGACUGCCAGGUUGAGGUGCUCGUUUUCUAUCGUCCAGCUUCUUUUGGUUACGUUACAUUAAUUAACGAUCCAUUAAGUGUAAAAUAAUCUAAUAUACUCAUAGUGACUCCCAAAUAUGAGGAUUUGCUGCUUCAUUAAAUUGAUUUAAAAUGUUCUGCAUUGAGUACUUUUAGUUUUAAUACCUGAUUGUAUUUACAUACUUUUACAUAAGUAACAUUUUCAACAGUAUUUUUACACAGUGUGGAAUUAGUGCUUUCUCUAAGUAAAGGAUCUGAACAGUUCCUCCACCAAUGUUUAUACUUACUUCACUACAUGUCAGAGGCAAAUACUUUUUACUCUACUAUAUUUAUUUAACAGUUACUGUACUAGUAGGUAGGUACUAGUUACUUUUCAAAUUCAAGAUUUUUAUAAUAUAGACAGUUUAUAAAAUACAAUGCAACGUUAUGAAUGAAACUACUCGACUGUAUAUGCAGUAGUUAAAAUUAUCUCCACCUUGACAACACUAAAAUGCAUCAGUAUAAUCAUCAUUUUUGAAUAAUACAUUUAUAUAUAGAGAGAGAGAAUACUCUGAGGCUCAUUGAUACUUUCAUGACAUUUUGCUACUAAUACUUGUGUACUUCCUUCAUCCAGUCAUGCAUGUGUUGCAUUGUUUAGGCCUGUGUGUUAAAGCCUUAUUUUACAUUUUAAAUGUUCAUCAUGAUGCCAUAGUUGUUUGCUUGCAAUGAGGUUACGAAUAUAAGCAUGUAGGAAUUUGUGA
ensembl:lncRNA